AAUUCAUACUUAUGACAAUGCUGUAAUUAGAUUGAAAGUGGUGAGAAUAAUGUCCAUAGAUGUUAAACUAAGAUUUUUCUCAGUAGUUUAUGAAGAAAGAAAGUGAUGAUUUCACUCUUUGCAAUUAUUUUAGAAUAUUAAGUGAUGAAGGAUUGUUAGACAUCCUUACAAGGCAGUACAAUAUUUUUGAUAAUAAUAAGCCUGAAAAAAUGAAAUGAAGUUUACAUGCAUCAUUUGAUGAAAGUAUUUCAAACGUUCUCCUUGGAGAAUGCAUUAUGAAGAUAUAUUCAUCUAGGAGAAAUCUUUAAUGAAAAGAAGUAGCAAGUAAAAGCAAAUUCAAAUCCUUCAGCACUAAAACUUAUUUCAUAUAAACUAGGAAUAUAAAAGACACAGGAUUGUUUUCUAAGAGAUUGUUAGUUCAGAGGAGAAACAUCGUCACUUACCAUCAAAAUGGUGUAAACACAUUUUACUUCGCUAGUAUCUGGAGG